GGGCACUUGGCACAGUUGGUAGCGCGUACGCUUCGCACUCCGUGGCUGCGUAAGGUCUAGGGUUCGACUCCCUAAGUGUCCA